ACCCUACUCUAAUAAGGCUUUAAUAUCUGGAGCUCAUAGGUGGGAGAUAAAAUAUACAUACUUACAAGACAUUUAUUGCAUAGUCAAACCAUGGAUCCAAAGUAACAAGCCAAUAAGAUUAAUCAAGAUGUGCAUGGGUGGCGAAUGAAUGGUGUAUGGUGGUGAUGGUGAUAACAAUGGUGAAAACAAUGGUGGUGGAAGUCUAAUUCUACUUUGCUCUUUGAGGGAAUACAUACCUUCCUUGCUAUUGAAACUUUAUGAGGUGAAUGAGAUGCUCUUCUUUUUUUUCAGGUGGGUAUCUUGCACCCCUAAUUCUACUGUCGGACACUUGUCCAUUUUUACCUUUCGUCUCACUUUUUCUUUUCUUUCGAGGUUCCGAGCACUUGCUCCUUUUUAUUUCCUCGUAUAUUUUUUUUUAUUUUUUUUAGAGCACUCAUCUCUUGAGAUAAUAUAGCAAGUGGUAGUAACAAGAUAACUUGAGCAUUUAUUUCACAAGGGGAAAAUAGAAAUAUUUUUGGUUAUUCUCUCCCGGAUUAGGAGUAGAAUAUUUUUGGGUGAUUCUGGAGAUGGAAUGGGUGGAUAUAUGUGGAUGGUACUUCCGGAGUAGAAGUAGCAUAUAUGAGUGAACGUGUAAGUGAAUCUUGAUUUAACCACAUGACAAGCUCCUAAGGUUCUACACAGCUUGACCACACUCAAUGCUCAUAAGCAGUAAAUAUUAAAUGUGUGGCUCAAAGUCUAGCAAGCAUGUAUAAAUGGCUGUGGUAGGAAUUUAAACUCUCAUCAUACAGGAACUCAUCAUGCAACAUUUUAAAGAUUUUCAAAGAUAAAAUUCUCCAGAAUUCUAGCAUCUCUAGGAACAGAUAAACAGCAGCUCAACCUUCCCAUAUCAUAUCCGUUAACAACUUAUACUUCAGAUCAAGUUUUCAUCCCACAAGUUUAGGUCUAGAGCAAGCUUUAAAUUAUAACAGUUAUAUCUAAACUUGAGAGAGAACUUAAAAUUUGCAAAUUAGGCAGAGCAACUAUUCAUCAUAUCCAUGCUUAAGUUUUAUUUAGAUACAGAUUAGCAUAGACACUUUAUUUAUUUAUUAAACACACUAAGUAAAAGACAUAUAUAAGCAUAAAAUUUUUAUUUGGUUUUCCCAUAGUUUAUGUGUAUUUUAAUAUUCUAAAAUAAUAUAAGUAUAAAGAUAGAUAGAUAGAAAUACUUAUCGUGAUAAAUGGGGGUGCUCUCCCCCAAGCUGAAUUUUGACGUAAUUUCUCUUGAUGUAGCUAGCAGGUGGCAGAGGUGUAGUUGAAAGUCAGCAGCAUUCUGACAGCGAUUAGAAUGUCCUCCGUCUGCCAGUCUUCUUGAUUUCUGUGGAGCUCAAAUAGACAACAAAGCUUGUGGAACUGAUUAAGUGUUAGCAUAAAUAUCUAGCCUUUAUUAUCUUGAGACUCCUUAAUAAAUGUUACUCCCUGUUUUUAUAUUUUUGUUUUAUAAAGCAGAAAAAUAUUUAUUUUAUUUUUAUGCCACCACAGUGAAUGUACUUAUGGGUUUUAUGCCACUCGUCUACUCACAUAGGGCUUACUGUUUUUUCAUAUUUUUAUUUUCUUUUUAAGAUAGUGUGAAUAUGAUUAACUAAGUAAACUAUUUGAAAUAACUGAAAGGGAAAGGAUAACUACCAAGUUUACCUCUUGGCAAGGCGUUCGGUGUUUUUAAGUCCUCCGAAUGGGACUCUCCAAUUUCUUAAUUGUCCUGAGGUUCGUUGGGUGGCGUAGUCGGUACUUCCGGCAGCGCCUCCUCUUCUUGUAUAGUUAUCUUCAUUUUCCAUACCUGACUCGGUGCUUCGAUCUCCUCUGGAUAAUUCUGUUUAAAUUCAACGUCUUCUGACCUUACAACUUCUCCUUCAUAGUCUGCCCAUCCGUCCUUGAUGAUCUGCCUCCUCUGGUUGCGGUUGCGUCUUUUUCUGACCUGCUUAGAUUCUUCAAUGAUAUAGUCAGGGUCAAUAAAAUAACGGCGUACCUUCUCUGAGGGGAAGUGCAUAUGGACUUCUCCGGUUCCAAUGUAGAUAAUUGCUUUAACGGUGCUGAGGAAGGGUCUUCCAAGGAUGAUGGGUGGAUCAUACUCAUCUUCUCCCAUGUCAACAACUUGAAAGUCUGUGUAGACAAAGUGAUCGUCUAUUUUGACUGGGACAUCAGAUACUAUUCCUUUAACUUCUCGAAAUGUCUGAUCUGCCAUCUGGAGCUGAAUGUAUGUUGGUCUUAGUGGCAUGGUCCCGAACAAGAGCCGAUAAGUGACUGCGGCCAUUAUGUUGACGCCCGAUCCGGUGUCGCAAAUCGUCUUGUAGAAGUUGUAUCCAUUUAUGGAGCAGUAGAUGCUUGGCAUUCCUGGGUCGUCCUUCUUGGUCAAAAAUGGUGACUUAAGUUGAUGAUCUUGGCCUCCAUGGACUACAGUGACCAUCUUAGCUGACUCGGUCCACACUUGCUUGUUCCUGUUCCUCCUGUUGGUCCUCUUCCUUGAUUCACGUCUGGAUUGAUCUUGAAUUUGUGUAGUCUUGUUCUUGAAGAAAAAUGUCUCCUUCUUCCCUUUGACGUAGAAACUGAUCUUGGCAGCACCAGCGUAGAUGAUAGCUCCCAUGGUGUUCAAGAAUGGCCUCCCUAGGAUGAUAGGUGCUCUCUCAUCAUUUCCGGUCUCUACCACUACGAAGUCUGCUGGGGCAUACAAGGUACCAACUCGGACACAAAGGUUCCUCACUAUUCCGUUUGGAAAAGUUAUCGUCUGAUCUGCAAACUGCAAACACAUGGUUGUCUCUAAUAAACGAUAUGUAAAGAAUUUCUCAUAGAGUACCCUGGGUAUAAUGUUGACACUGGAGCCAAAGUCGCAGAGUGCUUCUGGGACAUCCACCAUGCCGAUAGAGAUCGGGACGACGGGGCGUCCUGGAUCGCCUCUCUUGACCGGCAGACGGUCAGUAGAAAAUUCAGUGACGGGGUUACUCCAAUUACCUGCAUCAAACAUGUCUACAAGAUUUGCAGAUUCUAAUCCUUCCGGUUGUGAUGGUAUACCGGGGUUAGUAGCAGGAACAGCAGCAGCAAUUUGAUUUAACUGAGAUUCAAUCAUUUUAUUAAAGCUAAUUUGAUUCUUGAUGGCAGUAGAGAAAUUAUCCAUUCUAUUAUUUAUAUUUUCUAGCAUUUUAUCAUUAGAUGCCAAUUUCUUAGAUAGGUUAUCCAUUAGCUUUCCUUGAUUAGACACUAACUCUCUCAAAGGUGGAAAAUUAUUAUUAUUGUUGUAAGAAUUGUUACCUUGAUAAUUACCUGAGUAGUUAGGCCUCUGUUGAUUCCAACCUUGAUUUUGUUGAGGACGGUUGUAGUAGUUGUUGUUGUUGAUGUAGUUCACAUCCUCAAGCAUCUCAGGGCAGUGAUUGCCUGAGUGUCCAGUGUCUCCACACUCCUCACAAGUCAUGUGAGAGUCGUAGAUGUGCAUAACUUCUUUCUUGCCUCCAGCUCUAUCAUCGAGCUUCUUCAUGAGCAGGUCUAGCUUUGCAGACAGCAUGUCUACCUCCUUCAGCUGAUGCAUACCUCCACCUCUCUUGCGUGUCUGGCUCCUCUCUUCAUUCCAGCUUUGGUUGGACGCCAUCUUCUCCACAAGAGCUGUGGCUUGUGGUAUAGUAAGUGAUAAGAAUGCUCCUCCAGCUGCAGCAUCCAUGGUCUCUCGGGCACUGUUGCCGAGCCCAUGAUAAAACGUCUGCAUCAAUAGCCAACUCUCCAUUCCAUGAUGGGGACAUUCUAGGAUGUAGUCUUGAAAGCGCUCCCAUGCUUCUGGAACAGAUUCAUCAUUUUGUUGAUGAAAACUUGUAAUCUUCCCACGGAGAGCAUUGGUCUUGCCCAUGGGAAAGAACUUAGCCAGGAAGUUUGUUGAGCAGAGUGCCCACGUAGUAUUCUUCUCCUUUGUAGCGUAGAACCACUGCUUCGCUCUUCCUAACAGUGAGAAUGGGAAGAGGCGAAGUAGUAUAGCAUCUUUGGAAACUCCUGCUAUGGUGAAUGUGUUGCAAAUCUCCAGGAAGUGUUGUAAAUGAGCACUAGCAUCUUCGUGUGCCUUCCCACAGAACUGGUUGGAUUGCACCAUGUUAAUAAGUCCAGGCUUGAGCUCAAAGUUGUCGUCGAUCUCUGCAGCAGGUCCAGUGCGGAUGUUGUCCGUAGUGGGAGCUGAGAACUCGCGGAUCGAUUUGUUCGCCAUGGCUUCGAACUCUGAAGACAAGUUCCGGUGAUCUUCUUGAUUGGAUGAAGCUUCUUGCUGAAGUGUUGAUGAUUUCUUUAGCUUGGCUCUCGUCUUCUUGAAUAAUGCUUCGGGAUUGUCAACAAAAUUUCCUGGAAGAUGUCUUCUAUUCAUACAUUCCCCUACAUAAGAUAAAAUAGAAAAAUAUCGGGGUAAAACUGUAUGAGAGAAUAGAUAAGCUCAAUCAUAUUAGUGAUGCGAAUGAUAACUCAAAAUGUUUUAUUCCAUUCCUGAUUAGUAAUCAACCUUCCCCGGCAAUGGCGCCAAAAAAUGCUUGUUGGGUAUUCUUAACAUCAUUACUAAAAGUAGACUAAGUUCUCUAAAUCUAGUAACGGUGCCAAAAAUGCCAAACCUAUCCCUCACACCACUUAAGCCAAGUUGUCAUCCCCAGCAUGACAUGAGAGAUGCAGUAUUGAAAUAUGCAAUUGCUCUUCUAAAUAAAUAAUGAAUGGGAUCUGCAAGCGCAUAGAUUAAUACCGAUGCAGCAUUUUAACCGGGAAGUAUUCCAGGUAUCGUUAUUUAUAUUUUUACCACUGGGAAGGGAUUAGAAAUCAUCACUAAUGAUUACAGAAUAGAAUAUGAGAUUGAGCAUCUAUCAUUGCAUGUAUAAUUGAGAACAUUAUAUCUAACUCUUCAUACAGGGAUAAGUGUCACAUAAAAGAUAUAUGAAGUAAUGAUAGUGACAAGGAUAACUAAUCUGAUCUAGCCACAUAAUAAAUAUGAUAAGCACCUCAAUUAGAUACUCUAGAAAGUCAUUAGCAUGGUAUUAGAACAAACUACAAGAAUAUUCCCUAAGUUAUUCUUAACUAUAUAGUCUAGCAUUAUCAUAGUUAGUGCAAGCAUACUUAGCAAUCAUUGCGAGACAAGACUACGCCCAUGCAUAGUGAUAUUAGCAAGGAAUAUGAGAAACAUAGCAAUCACUCCCCUGUAAUAAUGUUGCUCUGCCAGCCCAAUACACGAGAGGGGAACUAUAUAAGAAUCAAUGAAGCUGUUACUAUCACGAACCACCCCACGAUCUGGCAUAUUGGGUACAAUCGCAGAUAAAUACGGUAUAAGCACCACGCCUACACAAUAUCUAUCAUUUACCCAUGGAUCCGAUGGAUAAACGCUAUACGAUCCUAAGCAUGUAUAUAGAUCGUAUCUAACUAAGCCAAGUACAUAACUAUGAUAAACUAAGAACAAUAUAUCUUGAAUAUAAGCAAGUAGAGCAAAGUCAUAAGCAAUAUAUUGAAGUAGAACAAAGUCAUAUUCAUAAUAUUGAAGAACAAAGAUAAUUAGAAAGCAAUUAGAAGCACAAUUAGAGAAUUACCAAGAAUCCUCCUGACAGAUCCGGAAACCAAUCGAAGAUUGACUCCUUCUAGUUCUAAUCCUAUGUAGCUAUGCUAAUCUAGAUGUCUAAUUGAUGUGGUGGCUCUAAUCUUGAUCAGAGGCUUCGUCUCCCUUGAUGGAACAAUGAAUUAGGGUUGAGAGGCUCUCUCCUUCAGGGGCCAGGGGGUCUGGUUUUAUAGUCCCUUCAAGUGAAUAUGGGCCCUUGGAUCAAACCGACAUAGAUUGUAUGGUUUAGAUUCAUCCUUUAGGUCGGUGGAGAUCUCCCGCAAAGCAGAGUCCUGAUUGGACUCAGGGGCAGGGCGGGCGCCCUGACCAACUGGGCGGCCGCCCAGGGUCUGGCCCCGUUUCGCCUCCGCUUCGGUCUCGUGGCUUCUGGAGUCUUCUAGAUGUAAGAUAAUUGCGCAGCACGUUAAUAUCUUUACGUAAUCCCGACAUGUGGGCCUUUCUUCCAUAUUUCCUGAUAACCCCCUACAGAAAUAGACAAACACCAAAACUCGUGGAAUUCUGUCAGAUAAAACCCUAAGUCUAGAUCUUGAUUUUAUUUGGAUCCUUUUCUUUAUUUAUUUGAUAAUUAAAUUUGAUACUUAAGGACCGUCAACAAGCACUUGUUUGAGCCCUUCUAGUCUUUGCCGAUUUGCCAGUUUGCUGUUACAACAACCAAGAUUUCAUGAGUAAAAGUAUGAAAGAAUGUUGAUGAAAUCUUGUUAAAAGAUAAAGGUUACCGAUGAGGUUCCCAUAGCAACCGAUGUAUCCUGAAAAGAUUAUGUGAGUAUGGGAUAGAAUCGGUAUAAACAAAGGAAAUCAAAAGUCUACCUUGAAAGCCUGCGCCAGGGUAGUAGCAGCAACUGAUGGGGACGUCUUUGACCGCUUGGUGGUUAUCUUCUUGAAGCGCACAUUCCGAUGAAUCAAAGCUGCCGGACUUGGUGCAUUGUGACCGAUCAGUUCGAUCGGUCUUCCACUUCUACAGACUGUCGGUGGUGGGUUGUCGAUUUGUUUGAAAAAGGGAGAAUAAGUUACCGAUAAGGUUAGAAGUAACAACAGAACUGAGAUGUCAGUCAAAAACUUACAGUGUUAUCGGGAACCUUAUAGUUGGAGCCGAUCAUGCCACGGUAUGUCAGAGCCGAUGCGCAGAACAGGUGUUCUUUCCAUUCUUCCCACCACUGUUUGUGCGCCUGAGUGAUCAAGAGGGCCGAGAUCCAAGCCGAUAGAUCGAUAUCUGACGUAUCGGCAUUUGGUUGAAGCUGAGCUAUCCUUAUCCACUCGAGCCCAUUAGUUAUAGUCUCCCUGGGUUUCACCACAUCGGCGUAACAGACUCUGAUCACCAGCUACCCAAAUGCCAGUUGAUGAGCUAAUGCCGAUGGAUUGUAAAACUCGUAAGUGGGGUUAGAGUUUUUCCCACUACCAAAGGUGUUUACUGGGAUAGCCCUCGAAGUGAUGAUUGCCAUCAUCAGAUCAUUAUCUUUAUUAGGAGCAUCAUCAAAGGGAUGGAAGAUGAGCGGAAAUCUGGUUUCUGGGUCUUCAUAAGGCAUCCAUACACGUUAAUCUUUGGGAAGACCCUAAUACAGAGUCUGGAAGAAUCAGCUGACCUGGUCUUCAUUACCACCAGUACCAGGUAGCUCUAUGGCGGCCUCACCGUAAUUCCAGGUGAGCGAGUUGCCGAUUCUUCGUCAGCCAGUUCAUGGUCUUCGGUGAUAUCUCUAUGGAAUUGUUGUGCAAAGAGGUCGAAGCAGAGACGUUUGUGCAUGUGGACGUUAAGCCACAUGUUGAUGAACCACCAAGGGCCUCCUAGGUUGCCGAUGGGUUGGCCUAAUAGGAGCUUCUCAGCCACUUGAUGGAGGAGGUGGUAGGCAGAACCAAGGAAGUAUCGACCGAGAGGAAAUCGGCUGCCAUCAGCCAGUCUUUCUGCUGCCAAUAAGUAGACAGAGGUUGGUCCUACCAAUCGGCCACAGAAGACGAACUUGUCUAACCACAUGUUUAGGAAAACUACAUGUUCUCUUUGACCGACUGGUCCCGUCCUCUGGUACUUCUGGAUGUACCCUGACCAACCGCCGAUGUUGAGGGUUUCUACUUUGCACUCGGGUUUGCUGUCGUAUAGAUGGCUAUCAUCAGCAGAUGAUAUGUCUAAGCCAGUGAGCAUGAGCACAUCGGCAAGAGUGGGGGAAGCAGGGCCAUGACCAAACAGAAAAGCAUUGAAAGUAUCUGACCAGAAGUAUGAAGCAACUAUCAAUAGCGAUUCAUUUCUUUCCAUAUCGGCAAUGGAUAACCUGAUACACUGGUCCAGUUUGUGCUCACCCCAUUGGACUUUGUUUGAGUUGCCAACUAUCAGGAACCAAUCUCUCCAUCCCUUAGUAGAACUGGGCCAAGAUCGGAAGGUAUCUUUCCAUAGAUCUGAGGAGAAAUUUUCAGCUCUAAAGGGGAUUCUAUUUAUCUCUGCGUUGAUCAGAUUGGUAGGAUCCGGGUUACCCAAUGGCCCGAGACAUUGAAAGUGGGGUUGAUCGGUGGGAAUCACAAUUUUAUCAGCGAAUUCCUAAAGGUUUGAAGGUUGGAAGAACAGAAAAAGGAAAAAGAAAGAAAGAACGUACUCAGUAAAUAGAUUUGCGGAAGUUAAAACUACAACAAGUAGACAGGGGAAAUUGACCUCAGGGACGGUGAAGUUCAUAGCCAUUUCUUCCAGGGAGGAAGAAGAUCAAUGAAGGACUGGCUGGGCUUGCUGACGUUCUCGGACUCCUCGAACAAUGCCGCCGUUAGGAAGAUGGGUUUUGAGGAUGCAGAAUGACAAGGUGGAGGAAGAGUGCCGAAGAAGGAAGUAUUUAUAGGAUAAAGAGAGCAGGGGUAUUUCUGACCUAUUCCUUUGCCGUAUCCAUGAAAAUCGAGGGUGUUCAGGUGGAUAUGGUAACUGUUCGCACGAUAAUCAAGGGAUUGUGUAGGUGAUUUGACAGUAAGCGGUCAUAAUUUUGGGAAGAUAUUUUACUGUGCAAGAUCUCCUGGUCGGUUCAUCGACAGUUCUCUCUAACGGAAACAUUGCCGAUGAACGAAUAUUUAGGAGAUUCGGUCUGAGGAGUUGAGAGAUUCGAGGUGCAUGCUGGAGAACCGGGCUAAGGUUGUUCGGAUUUGGUAAUUAAUUAUUGUCAGGUGGGAGUAAUCGCGGAAAGGCAUCAUUACUGAAGAGAAUUUUGGAGCAUUAAUGAUUUUAUACUCCGAAAUUGGGGGGCAUGUGUUGACACCGUUUUUAGACACGUAUCUUUGGACGCGUAUCUGAGAAUUAGUAAAAUAUAGAUCGGCAGGUGAAAGAGUGGUGAGUGUUUGUCAAGGAGGUUACCGAUGGGAAUUGAUGCCGAUAGAUAAAGAGCAGAAUGUGGCCAAGACUAGGGAUGGUGAUUGAUCUAUACCGAUGAUUGAUGCUUGCGAUUGCCGAUGUCGAUGGAAGGUGGUUUGCCGAUUGCCGAUGGCAACAGGGGGAGCGCAGGAGUUGCUGACAAGAUGGUGACGGUGUGUCGAUUGCUUGUAGUGGAUAGAUUAAUGUUUUGCAUAGCUGUUAGAGUUCGUUUUGUGUACGGAUUCCAUUCAAUUUUGAAUUAGAGUCCUAGUCGUGUUUGGUUGUAAUUCUUCUGGGCAGGGUAUAAAUGUAGACCCUGUAGCGGUGUAAUAGAUAUACACAAUCAAUCAAACACAAGUUUUUACAUCUAUCCCAGUAUCUACUUUUUUGAUGACUUCGUCAACUUGCAUAUUUUCUUUUUACUUACGAGUUCUUAGGAAUUCAUCGAGUCAAUCUCGGCGAGUUCUCAAGUUCUGCGUGAAUACCUCUUGGCCGUGACAUUCGGGCGCAUCGCUGUUGUCGGGACCAAAGUAUUCGUGUUAUCACCUUUAUCGAUUGUAAGGUCAAAUCGGCUGGCACGCCUUAACGUUGAAUCGGGUAUUAGCCCUUUGUGUUUGCAGAUCUACUUUUGCAUCAACAGGUCCCUUAUGAAAUGGUGCCUUAUGUCAAUGUGCUUGGUUCUUGAAUGUUGAAACAGAUUUUGUGUCAUCUUAAUUGCACUCUCAUUGUCACAUAGCAAAGGCACAUUCUUGAAUUUUAUUCCAAAGUCAUUCAAGGUAGCUUUCAUCCAAAGCAAUUGUGCACAACAACUACCGGCACUAAUGUAUUCGGCCUCAGCGGCUGAUAGUGCAACACUAUUUUGUUUCUUUGAUGACCAUGAAACUAGAGACAUUCCUAGCAAUUCACAAGUGCCACUUGUGCUCAUUCUAUCAAUCUUGCAUCCACCAUAAUCGGAGUCUAAAUAUCCAAUCAACUCAAAGUUAGACCCCUUGGGAUACUGUUGACACUUGCUAACACCACUUGAAGACUAGGUUGUCAUCCCCAGCAUGGCACCUUGUACUAUGGUAUUUAUACGCACACAGAUAAAUCCGCAAGUGCACGGAUACCGUUGUAGCUUUUACCCAGUUAAAGGUUUUAUCGUAUCCACAGGGAAACGGGAGAACUGAUCUACGCUCUAACUUAACCUAGAUAGAUAGGUAGGUGUAAAUAGGAAAGAUGAUAGGAUUGAAUAAGAACAAUAUUAAAGGUAAGAUAACAGUGAGUAAAUAUAGAGUAGAGCAAUCUAAUAUAUGGGCGAUGGUAGGAGAAUAGAGAGGAUAACUAUGGUUUCUCUACUUCAAAGGGGCAUGUCUUUGUCUGGGAUGUACCACGUGAUAAGAAUACACCACAAAGGAUGCUUAUCCAUAGGCCGAUAAACCCUACCCGUCCUGCUAACAGGAGGUGGACUACAGGGGACCAAUGUAACUAUCACCUACGCGGCCUACCACACGAUCCAGCUAGACAUGGGAUAUCCACAAGUAAUCUCAGGUCUAAGCACCAUGCUUACACCUAUACUACAACUCCACCUAUAGCGUCCUAUAGAUUAAAGUACUCAAAAGAGUUGUGAACCAGAACAUACAUGAAUAGUAAUUGCAUAAUGAAUUAGAAGUAGAUUACUAGAGUCAUCCCAUGAGCAAGCUUGAUUAGAGCUUGAUCAUGACGAAGUACAACUGGAGGAAGAACCGACAGGCCGGCCUCUCCUCCAAUCCUCGCUCGCUCUCCAUCUCGCUACUAUCUAGAUCUACUCUAGUUUAGAGAUGAGAGGAGAGCUCUCAUCUCCAAACCCUAGCUUUUGCUCUGUCUAUGAAUAAUGAAUAGGGAUCAAAGGGUGCCUCCUACAGGGGCCAGGGGGUCUGCUUAUAUAGUCCCCUCAAGUGAAUCUGGGCCGUCGGAUCAAACCAACAUUGAUUGAACGGUUAUCCUUGAUCCUUUCGGUCGGUGGAACGUAAUCCGCGAGAAGGGUACUAUUUGGACUCUGUUGCUGGGAGGGCGCCCAAGGGGGGAGGGCGAGCGCCCUGCCCCUGGGCUCGAUCGUCCUCCCUUUCAUUCCCGUGGCUUCUGGAGUCCUCUAGAUGAUUGAAAAUUGCACGGCACGUUUAUUUCUCUAUAUAAACCCGACAUGUGGGCCUUUCCUCCAUAUUUCCUGAUAACCCCCUGGAGAAAUAGACAAACACCAAAACUUAAGGAAUUCUGUCAGAUAAAACCCUAAGUCUAGUGCUGGUUGCAUUUGGAUCCUUUUCUUUAUUUAUUUGAUGAUUAUAUUUGGUACUUAAGGACCGUCAACAACUCCCCCAAGCUUACCUAUUGCUCGUCCCUGAGCAAGGAUGGACUCAAGAGUUUCUGCAGUGGUUUUAUGCCUUAAAAGGUACACAUGCAUUCAAACAAGAUCUCAUCUCUAGGUUAGGGUAAACUGUUAAGACUUAAAACUUACUCAUUUUACCUUUCACAAUGGGGCUAGCAACCGUCACUUAUGUCUUGAGUAGUUAAAAGAUAGAACGGUCAUGUCAAGCACCAUGUCUCUUGUUCUUUGAUCAACUAUAGCUCUAGAGUUUUUUGCAGAUUUUCAAAUAAAACUCAGAGAUUCCUAUAUGACUCUCUCAAUUCUCUCUUUUAUGGUAUUUCUGGAUCCUUACCAAGGCAGUGAUGAUAUAUGCCUUCUCUUAAAGUAUGUAGUAUUUGUGGCGUGAGGCAUAGUGAUAUUGCCUUCUCUCUCAUCCUACUCUAAUGAGGCUUUGAUAUCUGGAGCUCAUAGGUGGGAGACAGCUAAUACAUACUUACAAGACAUUUAUUGCAUAGUCAAACCAUGGAUCCAGAGAAACAAGUCAAUAAGUCAAAUCAAGAUGUGCAUGUGUGGCGAAUGAAUGGUGUAUGGUGAUGAUGGUGAUAACAAUGGUGAAAGUCUAAUUCUACUUUUGCUCUUUUGAGGGGAUACAUACCUUUCUUGCACUUUGAAGCUUUUUGAGGGGGGAAUGAGAUGCUCUAUAUUUUCUCUUUUUUUUUCUUUUCUCUCAGGUGGGUAUCUUGUACUCCUAAUUCUACUGUCGGACAAUGUCCAUUUUUACCUCUCGUCUCACUUUUUCUUUUCUUCGAGGUUUCGGGCACUUGCCCCUUUUUAUUUCCUCGUAUUCACUUUUUUUUUUCAGAGCACUCACCCUCUUGGAAUAAUGUAGCAAGUGGUAGUAACCAAAAUAUCUUGAGCAUUUAUUUCACGGGGAAUAACAGGGAUAGGAUAAUGUUUUUAGCUAUUCUCUCCUAGAUAGGAGUAAAAUAAUUUUGGGUGAAUCUGGAGAUGGAAAUGAGUGGAUGUAUGUGGAUGCGUACUUCCGGAGUAGAAGUAGCAUGUAUGAGUGAACGUGCAAGUGAAUCUUGAUUUUAACCGCAUGACAUGCUCCUAAUGGUCUACACAACUUGACCACACUCAAUUCUCAUAUGCAGUAAAAAGUAAAUGUAUGGUUCAUAGUCUAGCAAGGAUGUAUAAAUAGCUGUGGUAGGAUUUUAAACUCUCAUCAUACAGGAACUCAUCAUGCAACAUUUUAAAUAUUUUCAAAGAUAAAUUUCUCUAGAUUUCUAGCAUCUCUAGGAACAGAUAAAUAGCAGCUCAACCUUCCCAUAUCGUAUCCGUUAACGACUUAGACUUUAGAUCAAGUACUCUUCCCACAAGUUCAGGUUUAGAGCAAAUCUUAAUUCAUAACAGUCAUGCCUAAAAUUGGGAGAGAUUUCAAUUUUGAGAACUAGACAGAGCAACUAUUCAUCAUUUUCAUGUGAGAGCUUAUCAUGAGGGUUCAUAGCAAACUUUAUUUAUUUAUUUAUUUAGCAAAAUAAGCAAAGAUAUUUAUAUAAGCUCAAAAUCUUUAUUUAGAUUUUUAUGAUUAUGCAUCUUUUUAUUAUUUGAGUAAAGUAUAAAUAUGAGUAGAAACACUUAGCUGGAUAAAUGGGGGUGCUCUCCCCCAAGCUGGAUUUUGACGUAAUUUCUUCUGAUGUAGCUAGCAGGUGACGGAGAUGUAUUUGAAUGUCGGCAGCACCCUAACAGCGAUUAGGAUGUCCUCCGUCUGCUAGUCUUCUUUGAUCCUUGAAUUCUGUGGAGCUCAAAUAGACAACAAAGCUUUGUGGAACUGGUUAAGUGUUAGCAUAAAAUCUCUUUGCCUUUAUCAUGUUGAGCUUCCUCUAAUAAAUAUUACUCUCUUUAGUAGGAUCAUAAAUUUAUUUUUAUAUUUUCAUUUCUAUAGGACAGGAAUAUAUUUAUUUUAUUUUUAGGCCACCACAGUGAAUGUACUUAUGGGUUUUAUGCCACGAGCAUACUCACAUGGGGCUUACUAUUUUUAACAUUUUUAUUUUCUUUUCAAGAUAGUAUGAUUAACUAACAAGCUAUUUAAGGAAAGUCAAUAAUUUAAGGAAAAGGGAAUGCAGAAAGGAUAAAUAUGGAUAACUACCGAUUUUACCUUUCGGCGAGGGUUCAAUGUUUUAAGUCUUCUGAACAAGACUUCUCACCGUGUUCAUUCUUCAGUUGCGUCAUUUGAUUCAGGUGUGGACCUUAACAUCUGCACCUCUUGAUACGGUGUCACCCAUGUUCUUCGUUUGCCCAUUAGUUCGAAGUGCGGCGUUAUGGAUAAUAAUAUCAUGAUUGUAGCAUUUAAAACAUUUGUCAGAUCAGACCGCUCAACCUAAUGGAAAGAUAAUCUAUCUAUUUUUAUGUGUUUUUUAUAUAUCUGCCAAAGAUUGAGUGUGCAACAUUUUAGCUCAUAUGAUUAAGAGUGUGGGAUCACAAACGUAGAAGGACUAAACAUGUUGAAUCGAUUGGGUUGGUUAACCUAGGGUUGUAAAUCGUACAUGUUUGUCAGUUUUAUUCAUAGGAACGCCAGAACCAAGAAGAAGCUUAUAAAAGUGAUAAUCAAGUACCUUAAGAUGUUACCUUACUUGAAGAGUGAUGGUACAGUAUCACCUUGUGGAAGCUUUCCUUUCUUAGCGGUUGUGCAUCAUAUUUGUGGCACCCUCCGUGGAUCAUCUCUUAUGAGCUAUGUUUUCCUUGUGUAAAUUGUUAAACUUGAUGUGUCUCUCUCUUUGUCUCCGAUGUGAGUUUAUCUCAGGACUUCCCAAAUCGAUAUUGAAAGUAUUUCUAUAGGGGUUAGUUCGACAACAUAUACCAAUGUCUACACAAGCAGUUUUUAGUUCAAUAACCGAACUAGACUCCAUGUCUAAUCAGAUUAAGGAAGGCUGUUUAACCUAAGCACCAUGCUUAAUUGAAAAGCCAAUAGAAGUAUGCACAGUACUUCCAAACUAACACUUACGAGGAUAAACAAAGGUAGCAUGAUGGCAUUUAUAAAGAUCUACUCAAGUGGAGAUGAUGUAGUGUGAUUAGUAUUUAACAAAUUGAGCAUGUCUUAAAGGUAGGGACAACCAACAUAGCAACAUGGCAAAGGAUAUUUUUAUGUAAGGUACUCCCCCAAGCUUGAAUUUUGCAAAAUUCAAGUUUGGAUGAAUUUCAUUCAGUGUUGCAUGAUGAUUGGUUGGACAUACCUUGUGCUUGUCAUUCAUCCAAUCUUCUUGCUCCAAUCCUAGAAAGGUUAGUGACAAGAAUACCCGAAGGAAUAUUUUUACAAUUAUUCUUAUAUGCUCAAUACACAAGGUAAUAUUGUAAAUAAUUAAAAGGUCAUGUUACGAUCUGAUCAGUGCUUAUUUUAGGACACUAAGCUUGUCCUUGGGAAACCAUCAAUUUAUGUCGGUGAAGUGGUUUCCCUUCCAACGCUGACCUAUAUCAAGAUCAACUCAACGAGAUCUGCAAUAUUUAUUAUAGACAUAUGCAUCGACAAUUGUCCUUUUAAAGUUUUUGUAAAUAGAAAGAAAGAGUGGGUUGGAUAUCUCAAAUGUGGUGAUGUUGGCGAGACCAAUAGAUUGGAAAGAUGUUGCAUAUGGGCAUGGAGUAAACGAAGUGGCUAUGAAAUAAAUUCCAUGCUCAUUAAUGUUAUCUUCGUCUCCAAUCUGAAUGUUCGGAGUUUCUCCUGGAUUGGUCUCACCUAUGUCCUCUUCUGUAGUUGGAUGAAUCUCAUCUUCAAAGGGAGCCAAGAACUCACCAUUUGAAAUUGAGCCAAAGUCAGAAUCCAUUAAGGGUUCUUCCUUAUCCAUCCAUUCUACACAUUCUAGCCAUUUAGAACUUGUGAUCAGGAAGGGGGAGGUGUUAGAAUUUUCUAUAUGGUUUAGCUCUCCUUCACUUGAUAUGUCAUCCUCAACUUCUUCUUAACAGGAACUAGGACAUUCUCUAAGAGAACCAUUAUUGCAAGGAUUUGAAUUAUCCCUGGUUGAAGGUCUCUUAUGGAACCAGAAGUCUAAUCCAUAAGCAUCUGAAAGAUUUAAGGUCGGAAUUCCUUCCUCCCUUGGAGAAUUUUGGGGUAUUGAUGGUUUAGGAUCGCUAGCUAAAGUUUGGGAUUGCAGUGGUUGUGAUCUGGCUAUCAAAACUUCUUCUUCUUGUCUAGGAACUGGUUCUUUCUCUUUCUCAGGGUUAUAAAAGCUAGGAGACUUUCCGCUCAUUAAAUCAAUCAAAUUCCAAGCAUCACUAGCGGACAGGUGGUGCAAGGAUCCUCCAGAGGCCGCAUGAAGGGUUUGCUUAUUUUUCCUACUAAGGCCCUUAAAAAUUGAAAUAGAAGAACUUGUUCUAGAAUAGAAAGCUUUGGGCCAGUGAGAGUAAGGUCACUAAAGUGGUCCCUUGAUCCGCCAAUAGAUUCUUCUUCUAAUUGUCUAAAAGAAAGAAUCUCGAGCCGAAUAUCUGCCACUUUGGAGAUCAAAAAAUAUUUAAAGAGAAAACUAUUGUAUAGCUCCUUCCAAUCUCCAUGAGCACUUCCUAUGUUUAGUUUAUACCAAUGUCUAGCUUUUCCCGUUAAAGAGAACGGAAAGAGCUUCCAUUUAAGGGUCUCAUCAGACAUGCCUUCAAUGCGAAGGAGGUCACAGACUCGAUAAAACUCUCUUAGGUGUGUGUAUGGGUUUUCCUCACCUUCUCCUGAGAAAGGCUGUUUUUGAAGAAAUUCUAUGUAUUCCGGGCUUAUCUCGAAACUAGAUGUCAUGAUUGGCUUUGAAGAUUUUGGUGGUUCGAGAUGUGUGCCCGUAGGUCUAUUAAAUUCAUAGAUAGACAUGUUUGAAUUCAUGAUAGACCAGAGAUCAAGGAUUAGAUAAGAAGAAAGAAUAGCAGAGAUAAGGCAAAAGAUAAAAGGAAAAGUAUAUAUAUAUUUUUUUAAUUUUUUUAGAAAAUGAUUAAGCUAGUUCGUAGUCAACUCAGCAACCGUCUCCCCAGCAACUGCGCCAAAAAUGCUUGUUGACACUUGCUAACACCACUUGAAUACUAGGUUGUCAUCCCCAGCAUGGCACUAGAGUGUACUAUGGUAUUUAUACGCACACAGAUAAAUCCGCAACCGCACGGAUACUAUUGUAGCUUUUACCCGGUUAAAGGGUUUAUCGUAUCCAUAGGGAAACAGGAGAAUUGAUCUACGCUCUAACUUAACCUAGAUAGAUAGGUAGGUGUAAAUAGGAAAGAUGAUAGGAUUGAAUAAGAACAAUAUUAAAGGUAAGAUAACAGUGAGUAAAUAUAGAGUAGAGCAAUCUAAUAUAUGGGCGAUGGUAGGAGAAUAGAGAGGAUAACUAUGGUUUCUCCACUUCAAAGGGGUAUGUCUAUAUCUGGGACGAACCACGUGAUAAGAAUACACCACAAAGGAUGCUUAUCCAUAGGCCGAUAAACCCUACCCGUCCUGCUAACAGGAGGUGGACUACAGGGGACCAACGUAACUGUCACCUAUGCGGUCUACCACACGAUCCAGCUAGACAGGGGAUAUCCACAAGUAAUCUAGGUCUAAGCACCAUGCUUACACCUAUACUACAACUCUCACCUAUAGCGUCCUAUAGAUUAAAGUACUCAAAAGAGUUGUGAACCAGAACAUAGAUGAAUAGUAAUUGCAUAAUGAAUUAGAAGUAGAUUACCAGAGUCAUCCCAUGAGCAAGCUUGAUUAGAGCUUGAUCAUGACGAAGUACAACCGGAGGAAGAACCGACAGGCCGGCCUCUCCUCCAAUCCUCCCUCGCUCUCCAUCUCGCUACUAUCUAGAUCUACUCUAGUUUAGAGAUGAGAGGAGAGCUCUCAUCUCCAAACCCUAGCUUUUGCUCUGUCUAUGAAUAAUGAAUAGGGAUCAAAGGGUGCCUCCUCCAGGGGCCAGGGGGUCUGCUUAUAUAGUCCCCACAAGUGAAUCUGGGUCGUCGGAUCAAACCGACAUUGAUUGAGCGGUUAUCCUUGAUCCUUUAGGUCGGUGGAACGUAAUCCGCGAGACGGGUCCUAUUUGGACUCUAUAGCUGGGCGGGCGCCCUACCCCUGGGCCCGAUCGUCCUCCCGUUCGUUCCCGUGGCUUCUGGAGUCUUCUAGAUGAUAGAAAAUUGCGCGGCACGUUAAUAUCUCUAUGUAAUCCCGACAUGUAGGCCUUUCCUCCAUAUUUCCUGAUAAUCCCCUGCAGAAAUAGACAAACACCAACACUCGUGGAAUUUUGUCAGAUAAAACACUAAGUCUGGGUGUUGGUUGCAUUUGGAUCCUUUUAUUUAUUUAUUUGAUGAUUAUAUUUGGUACUUAAGGACCGUCAACAGAUACCAUAAUCCAACAUCAUGAGUUCCCUUAAGAUACCUCAAUAUCCUCUUGGUUGCCUUCAAGUGACUCUCCCUUGGUGAAGCUUGAUAUCUUGCACACUUGCAUAGACUAAACAUCACAUCUGGUCUUGAUGCGGUGACAUAGAGCAAACUUCCAAUCAUGGACCAAUAUAGCUUUUGAUCUACCAUGUUGCCACUUGCAUCACUACCUAAUUGAUCAUUUGUGCCCACAGCUGUGUUCAUUGGUUUAGCUUCUUGCAACCCAAAUUUCUUGAUCAUGGCCUUGAUGUACUUUCCUUGACUUAGAGAAGUGUCAUUCUUCAUUUGCUUGAUUUGAAGACUGUCGGUGUCUUCCCCAUGGGGGGUCACACCAACGAGUAAAUUUGUGUGCGUGCUCCCUUUCCCAGAUGGUGAUGCAAGAAGACACAGAGAUUUAUCCUGGUUCGGGCAAGAGAAGGCCCUACGUCCAGCGGGGGGGAGAGGCUUGUAUUAUCUUGCACCUAAGUGCUUGUAUAGGGGUGAAUACAAGCGUGGUAUGAAGUGUGUGAGCCCUACUGCGUAUGUGUGUAGUAUUGCGCGGUGUUCUAUUCCUGAGUCUCUCCUUUUAUAGUUCCAAGGAGUGACUUAGGGUACAUGCGUAGAUGUCAGAGUAGGGGUCGGUAGCAGCAUGGAGCGCUGACCUACUCGAGGCUUCUGUACCGGCAUGACUUCGAGCUGUCCCAUCUUAAUAGCCUGGUGAUGAUUACGCGUGCCCCUGCAUUCUGCUCUGUGCACCGUCUUGUGCUGGCUCAACGGUCGCAUGCUCGUACGGUAGAGCGGCAGAUCCGGCGGGGUAGUUAUGGUGUUAUCAGUCGACGCUCCACACGUCCCUAGGAAGGAACCUUGUUCGGUCGAGGGUCGGACGCCGUGUACCGUGACAAUAUCCGGAGCACUGACCUUGAAUGUCUCGAGGGGGUCCCGAUUAGACGUCCCAUCCUUGUUUCCCGCGCCCUAACAUGCCCUGGGCCGUUCGGCGGGAAGGCUGCAAAAAGAUCGUUGGGACGGAUGCCUGUUCCCUAUCACGCCUCCCAUGACCUGUGUGUUAGGUGGGGAAGCAUCAGGCGCAUUUAAUGCCCCGGUUCGCGUGCGCGCGUCAGGCGGCGGGGGGCGUCUUUGCGCUCGACGCCUCCUGGUUCGCGUGAGCCUGUUCCGUAUUCGACGGUAACCAGCGCUCGACGCCUGAUCGAUUCGCUCGACGCUAUUUCCGUCUUCGAGGUUGCGGCAGUCGAUGGCAGCGCACACGUAAGACUAGAGCGUCGAAUUGAGGGCCGCGACCUGCGUACGGGCAAUCUCGUAAUGCACAUCGGUGAGGGUACCCCUUACUGAUACCCUCGACAGUAGCCCCCGAGUCUCCAUUUGAGCGCUAGCGCUCGAGUGGAGGCUUUUGUUUUGCGGUCGAAUUUCCGUGGGGGCGCGCGAGCGACCCUGCGGGGGUAGCCCCCGAGCCUUCGGGGGAGUUUUUGACUCCUUCGAGGGUUAUAUUGUUUAAUUCGCAGAAGCGCUUUCGACACCGGUGGUGGAAGGUUCUGACUGGCUCGUUUUGCCCGGGGGUUUCGACGUACUCUCGAUAGAGCGAGCGUCUUCCACCCCAGAUUGAGUUCCUAGCGGGUAGUCCAAGUUAGAACCUGUGCCCCUUUCGAGGGGGUCAGCUGUAGCCCGGAGGCGUUCUCAUAAAGCGGGAUCGACGUGGUCGGGGAUACCAGUCUCAUUCGAUAGAGUCCGGCGGCUCGAUGCCUCCCGUCGGGGGGAUUCCUCUCGACUGUCUCGACCCUACCUUGGAUAUCGCCAGCGAGUCCUUGAGGCGGGCCUCGAUAUUCGACCGCUCGGUGGAGAUCCCUGACUCUGGCGCUCGAGAUCGACUGCCGAACCCUUUCGGCGGGCCAGCCAUCGACCUCUCGAGACUCUCGCGGGUACGCCCCUUGGCUUACAAGGGAAGGAAGUAGCCGUGACGGUUCGCCUUUCUGCCCGUUGGGCGCGCCUUUUCGGGUGGAUGACGUUACGACACUGCGUCGGCGUGGAAUUCGGAACGCCACGCCUGUAAAGGGGGGAGACUGUUAGGUGGCGCAUUUAUGGGGGGACGUUACCUCAUUUCUCGGAUCUGUCCGUUGGCAGAUCGUGGCUUAUAAAUACGCCGCGGCACCGCCGCCGUUGUUUCUUCCGCCUCCCAUCUUCACUCUUGCCUUAGCCUCUUUGCCGUCUUAGCUCUCUCGCCGUCUCACGCGCACACGCCUCCUCGAGCAGUAGCGGAUCCACCGUCCCUCCAGCCGAGAUGCCUGUAAGACUCGUCACCGCCGCCGACUGGCGCCCGUCGUUGAUGAUGGAGCGCCGGUUGUUAGAGCUUGAGAAAGAGGGACUGCUGUGCCGCCGUACCACGCUAUCGUCGCCAGAGUGGAUCGCGCCGCCGGCGAGUCACAGGGAGCCCCAGCCGCCCGAGGGCUACGUGGUGUCGUUCGCCAAGUUCCACCGCCACGGCCUGGGCGCGCCCUCGAGCCGCUUCACGCGGGCCCUCUGCUUCCACUAUGGGGUGGAGCUCCAGCACUUCUCCCCGAACGCCAUCACCGUCGCGGCGAUCUUCACCGCGGUACGUGAGGGCUAUCUGGGGAUGAUGCCCCACUGGGAUCUGUGGCUCCACCUCUACAGGGGCGAGCUUUUCAAUGCCCCCACCGGAACCACCGGCGUGAGGAAGCAUGUGCGGGCCGGGUGCCUCAACCUGGUAUUGAAGAUGAAGAAGACAGAAAGGCUGCGCGAGUACAUCCCGGUGGGUCUGUCAUCGAACCACGCUGGGUGGGACUCCCAGUGGUUCUACCAGUGGAACGACGACGGUCUCUUCCCCGCCUACACGGGCCGUCUGAUCACGGAGCGCCCGGACAACUGGACGUACGACGUCGUCCAGGAGCACCAGUCGCGGCUCGACCCCCUCCUCAUGCCAUGAAGAAGCUGUGCCUGGACGGCCUGUCCGCCGCUCUCGUCCUCUCGGCCGUCCAUCGUCGAAGGGUCCUUCCCUUGAUGUCUCGGCCGUUGAGGAUGGACGAGAUAGGGCCGGGCGUCUCGUCCCGGGAUCUCGAGGCUUGCCGGAUGUCCAACGUGGCUCUGGCGGACGACGAGGUCGCCGCCCGGGUCAGGGCGGCCAUUGCCGGCGACUUUAAGCCGGAGCAUGUCAACGGCUUCCCUAUGAGGCCCGACGAAGGCUCGGUCGAUCUGGUAUGUUUUCUUCUUCGCGCGUAGCCUUGACUCUGGGUUCCUUUUCCUCCCUUUUUUCUAAGUUCACUUUUAUUCUGGCAGGGGCGGAUCGACGUCCGGUCCUCGACGCCCCCGGUAAGGGAGGACGAAGUUGAUCGCGACGCGCGGCGCCGGUCCGCCGAGAAGAUGAAGUCCGCCAAGGACUCUAAGAAGAAGGGGGAGAAAAAGAAAAACCUUGACCGCCAAGCCUUAGAGGCGCGUCGGUCCAAAUCCAGGCAGAGGGGAGAGCCUGAGGAGGAGUCCCCCAGUGACGAAGACGACGAUGAUGACGAGGACAGUGACGACUCUGAGGGGAUGGCAUCACGCCUCGACCGAAUCCUCGAGGGUCCGCCUCGAGGCGACGCUGACGCCCCCCGGACAGAGACUCCAAAGGAAGGUCCAAGCGGAUCUCACCGCCCUCGGGCCGACACCCCCCCACGCUCAAGGCUGGUCAGGUCGCACCGCUUCCUCCCCCGGCGCCCAAAGAGGGCGGUCAUGCUAUGCCCCAGGUGACGGGGCCACUUACUCGCGGCCGCGCCGCGGCCUCCGAGAAAGGAGAGGCCGGCCGUAGGAGUGCCAGUCCCGGCACCCGCCAGGCGGGAACUGACGCGCCUAGGCCCGCGCCCGCCCUCGAAGGGCCUGGAGCCCUGACGCGAGGUGGCUCGAGGCCCACCAGUCGGGGCGGCGGGAGGCGAGCUGUUCUCCCUGUGGGGUAAGCCUUUUCGUUGUUGUGGCCUUUGUCUUCCUGCUCCUCCGCAUUUCCUCAUAUGCCGAUCUUUUCUCAGGCUAAAGCGGACCCUCGAGCAGGCCCAGCCGUCCAUGGCAAAGAGGCUCAAAACGGGAGCCGCCUUCAAGGAACCAGGUUCGUAGUUUAUUUCUGGGCCUUGCGAUGUUCUUAUGUCGGUUACUAUAGCGUCUGGCCUUUACCCUUUGCUUUGUAGGCUUCUCCGACUCCCAACCUCCAGCCGGCAUCGAGAGGGCUCCGCCUCGUCCCGUGCCUACCCCGUCGCCGCCGACUUGUGGUGAGGCGCCCCAGACGCAAGCGUCAGAGGGAGCCCCCGAGCCUCCUAAAUUGGGGGUCGAGGGGGAACCCAUCACCAUCAGCGAUACGUCUGAGGGUAACGAAGCGUCUGGGGGUGCCCGCCCUAUGGAGGAGUAAACGUCGACCUCCCACGUCGCGGGACGGACUCCCUGGCCUGCUGGCCUUCGAGCUCUCGAAGAGCAAAGGAAGAUGGAGGAGGAGGAGGAGCGGGAGCGCGAGGCGACACGGCCGUCACUGGAGCAGCAGCAACAACAACAACCCCAGUCGGUGGAGCAGCAACAGCAGCUGCAGCGUCAGCAGGAGGAGCAGCAGCAGCGGCAGGAGCAGCAACAGCAACAGCAGCAGAGGGGCCAAGAGGACGAGCCACUCGAGCCCCCGCCUCAAGGUCUGGCCCAAACGGCGCCACUAGCGCCGCAAGAGCCCGGCGAUCAGGAGGAAAAUUUGCCGGUGUACGGCCCUCCCACCCCAGCGUGGCUUCUCCCGGGGGCGCCUGCCGCGAUCCGGGCAGAGUCGGGGCGAGCGGACGGAGUGGUGGCGCUCGCCUGUAUGAUGCGCACCCCCACCGACCCCGAGUCCGAGAUCAAGAGGAUGAUCUACGGCAUGGACGGGAUCGCCCCAGGGUUCCUCCGGGAGCGUCGAGCGUGGGAGGACCGCUUUCCCUCUGAGGAGGAUGAGAUUGGGUCGUCAGGGAGCAAGGACGGUACCUGGAAGACGGUGGACGACGACGGGCGGUUCCCUUGCCUCAUCGACCUGUUCUUGCGCCACAGGGGUUCCCUCGAGACCGUCGAGAACCUUAUCCGCGGCGUCAAGGCGCGGGCUGAUCGGGAGAUGGAGAACUGGUGUCCCGAUCAGAUUCGUCUCCGAGCUUCCACCGACCCGUUCGAGCCCAAUAUCUUCCUCGGCGACAAGAAGGAGGCCGAGAAGUGGGAGCAUGUCGAGGAGCUCCGCCUUUGGAUGAAGCACGUGGUGGGGCUCCUGUCGGACAUCAUCAACAACGGGCUUGGGCCUGCUUAUUUUGUAAGUGUUUUUCGAUCUUUGGUCUUCGUGGAGCCUUUUGGUUUUGUGCUCUAACUGUUUGUCCACCGGCUCGUAGGAUAUGAAAGAGACCUCCCGCAUCAAGUCGAGCUUUAUCCACGCCACACGAGGCGGCUGGGAGCAGCUCCCCGUCCUCAAGGAUCAACUCCUCGAGUCGCAGGAGAAACUUCUUAAGGCCUAUAAAGAUCUCAUAGCGCUCGAGGAGGAGAAGAAGGCGAGGGAGGCUGCCUUGGCGGAGGCUUGAGAGGCUUCGAAGAAGGCGGAGGAGGAGACGACGCUGCUGCGGGAGCGGGCUCUGACGGUCGAGGAGGCUGCAUCCAGAGCCCGGGAGGAGGCCCUGUCCUACAAGAACGUUAUUGCGGAUCUGGACAAGGAGAAGGCCCUUCUCAAGACCGACCUAGACUCCCUUCGCAAUUCCUUCCAGAAGAUGAAGGUGGCGUAUGUGGAUAGUGAGGUCGCCAGGAGUGCCGCCGAGGACAUAAAUAAGAAGGCCCUCGAAGACCUCGAGGCGGAGCGAGCUCGAUCCCGCAGUCUCUCUGACGACGUUGAGCGUCUGAGGGCAGAAUUGCUGGUGAAGAGUGUGGCCAUUGCUCAGGCUGGCAAGGUGAUCGAAGAUCUCCGCGUUGCCAAUACUGAGCUGGCGCGUUCCAAUAGAGAGAUCGAGAGGGCCAACACCAGAUUGGUCGUUGAGAACACGGCCCUGGAGGAGAGCGUUCGAGGUAUGUUUCCUUUGUCGGGUUAUUUUUUCGAGGUGUGCUUGGUUUUUUCCUAAAGCUUCUUGUAUUGGCGUUUACAGGGCUUAAGGACGAACUCCUAGCCGCCCAAGUCGAGGCCCGUAAUGCUAAGGCCCUGCUCGAGGCGGAGGUCGCUUUGAACCGUCGCGUGCGGACGGCGAUAAGCGACCUCUCGACCUCUUGGGAGGUCGAGCCAAUGGACGAGUCGAGGGAGGGAGCUCGAGGCAACGCACUGGUCGACCAGCUGUGCUACUUAGGCGCGGUGCUGAAAGACCGAGUGCGGGACGCCCUCCACAUCGGGGUGAAGCGGGCAAUGGCAGUUGUCUGCUCGGGCUUCUCCUAUGACAUGGAGGUGGUGUCCCACGGCUUUGUCACCGACAUCUCCAAGACCGACGUGGAGAACGAAGAGAGGCUCCACGCCUUGAUCGACGACGCGGAGGCUCCUGGGGAAAGGCUGGCUAAGCUUUUUGAGCCUGAGGUGCUUCCUCCUGAGACUGGCUCGGGCACAGGCGAGGGUGGUGAGGACCAUACCAUGGACUGAGGCCUGCGAGCGUGCUCAGGGUGCCCAGGGCCCCUUGUAUAAUACUUUGUUAACUCCGUUUUUAAGCGACAUAGUAUCUUUUUGUAAUUGUUGAAUGUUUAUUUGUCUUUCCGCUCGAGGUUCUUUUAUUCCUUCUUAUUCCUACGUUUGUAUUUCUUGUUCGAUCUUUCGUCAAAAACAACCUCGAUCACCUCAAGGGUAAGGAAGUGAGUAGAGUUUCCGUAGCCCGGGGGCGUAGGGGUUCUCAGGCUUGUUGUCCCUCGGCUUUUGAGGGGCUCGAGGUGCCUUGGCUACUCAAAUCGUGCAAGGUUUACUAAGUAAGAAAAGAAAAUUUCUUGGCUUUUUCGACGUUUGGGGUGGGGUCGUCCCCCUGGUAGCCCCCGAGGGGGGUGUUGACUAUGAUGGGUCAUAGUCGGCGCCCCCUUCUAUCGUCGAGAUCAUGACUUGUAAAGCCUUAGUACAAAAAGAAGUUGGAUGCUCGAGGGAAGGACUUCAUCUAUUCAUACAUUCGUUUACAGGGUCUUGGUACAAAAUAUACGUAAGAACAUAAGUUUUGAACUUCUAGGGGUAGAAUCGACGUAGCUGUUCGAUAUUCCAUGCGUUGGUGAAGACCGCCCCCUUCUCGUCCGCUAACUUGUACGUUCCUGGCUUCAAGACCUCGGCCACCACGUACGGGCCUUCCCAUGGCGGGGUCAGCUUGUGACGUCCUUGGUUGCUUUGCCGUCGUCGUAGGACAAGGUCGCCUACGUUUAAGUCCCUCUUGCAUACGUGUUUGUCGUGGUAGUGUCGAAGCUUCUGCUGGUAUCUGGCAGAGUUGAGGAGGGCCAUGUCUCGAGCCUCCUCAAGCUAAUCGACCGCGUUCUCUUGAGCUUCCUUAUUCGACUGCUCGUUGUAUGCCUUGAGUCGAGGAGAUCCAUACUCGAGGUCCGUUGGGAGCACGGCCUCAGAACCGUAGACCAUGAAGAACGGGGUGUAUUUGGUGGCCCGGCUUGGCGUCGUCCUCAAACUCCAUAAGAUCGAGGAAAGCUCCUCGACCCAUUUCUUGCCGAAUUUCUUCAAGCGAUUGUAGAUUCUUGGUUUGAGCCCCUGCAAGAUCAUGCCGUUCGCACGCUCGACCUGGCCGUUAGUUCGAGGGUGAGCCACCGCGGACCAGUUCACACGGAUGUGAUGCUGAUCGUAGAAGUCCAUGAACUUUUUGCCGGUGAACUGGGUGCCAUUGUCGGUGAUGAUUACGUUAGGGAUUCCGAAUCGGUGUAUGAUGUCGGUGAAGAAAAGGACGGCUUGCUCGGAGCGGAUGUUGGUGAUGGGUCGAGCCUCGAUCCAUUUGGAGAAUUUGUCGAUGGCCACCAGCAAGUGGGUGUACCCUCCUUUCGCUUUUUGCAGGGGCCCCACUAAGUCGAGUCCCCACACCGCAAAUGGCCACGUGAUGGGGAUCAUCUGAAGAGCGUGGGCGGGAAGAUGCGUCUGUUUGGCGUAAAAAUGGCAUCCAUGACAUGAGCGUACGAGCUCGAUGGCAUCCGCUACGGCCGUCGGCCAGAAGAAACCUUGUCGGAAAGCGUUCCCUACGAGGGUCCGUGGAGCAGCAUGGUGGCCACAAGCCCCCGAGUGUAGGUCCUCGAGUAGUUUCCGGCCUUCUUCCACAGUGAUGCAACGCUGCAGGACCCCCGUCGGGCUUCGUCGGUAUAGCUCAUUGCCUUCACCGUAAAUCACGUAUGACUUGGCUCGUCGAGCGAUAUGGCGGGCCUCAGAUGGAUCUUCUGGCAGUUCGCAGUGGAUUAGGCAGUCGAGGAACGGUGUGCGCCAGUCGAACGGUCGACCGGGUCGCUGUUCUGCCUCCAUCACCUCUGCUGCCACCAGCAGCGUGUCGACGGUGUCGGUUGGCUGGGCAGAAGCGGCAUCGACGCCAACCCCCGAGCCCAAGUCGACGGAUGGCUCGUGGAGAUCUCUCGAGAGCGCGUCAGGCGGUACCGUGCCUCGGGUUGACGGGAUUUUGGCGAGUUCGUCAGCUGCUUCGUUGUAGCGUCGGGCGAUGUGGACGAGCUCGAGGCCAUGGAACUUGUCUUCGAGCCGACGGACUUCUUUGCAGUACGCAUCCAUUUUCGGGUCGUGGCAGCUCGAAGUCUUCAUCACCUGGUCGAUGAUGAGUUGGGAGUCACCUCGGACGUCGAGGCGUCAGACUCCUAGCUCGAUGGCAAUCUUGACACCGUUGACGAGGGCCUCAUAUUCUGCGACGUUGUUGGAUGCGGCAAAGUGAAUCCUGAUGACAUACCUCAUAUGGACGCCCAAGGGUGAGAUGAACAACAGGCCAGCCCCGGCCCCCGUUUUCAUGAGUGACCCGUCGAAAUACAUCGUCCACAGUUCCGCCUGGACCUGGGUCGGGGGGAGCUGGGAGUCUGUCCAUUCCGCGAUGAAAUCCACCAGGGCUUGCGAUUUGAUGGCCUUGCGGGGCGCGUACGUGAGAGUCUCACUCAUGAGUUCGAUCGACCAUUUAGCUAUCCUUCUUGUGGCCUCCUUGCUCUGGAUUAUCUCGCCCAAAGGGAAAGACGAGACCACUGUGAUGGGGUGGCCGAGAAAGUAGUGCUGCAGCUUGCGGCGGGUGAGGAUUAUGGCGUAGAUCAGCUUCUGGAUUUGGGGGUAACUUACCUUGGUCUCUGAAAGCACUUCGCUAACGAAAUAGACUGGCCUUUGGACUGGCAGCGCUUGCCCCUCUUCCUACCUCUCGACCACCACCGCUGCACUAACGACCUGGGUCGUCGACGCAACGUAAAGGAGCAGUGGUUCUGCAGGUUGAGGCAGGACCAAGACCGGUGCUGAGGUCAGCGUUUUCUUCAGUCUUUCGAGAGCUCCCUCGGCCUCAGGGGUCCAAGAAAAGCGCUCGACCUUCUUCAGGAGUCAGUACAGCGGUAACGCCUUUUCCCCUAGUCUCGAGAUGAAAUGACUCAGAGCCGCCAAGCAUCCCGUGACUCUUUGGACACCCUUGACGUCCCGGAUCGGCCCCAUUCUCGUGAUGGCCUAGACUUUCUCGGGAUUGGCCUCGAUACCGCGCUGGGAUACAAUGUAACCCAAGAGCAUGCCUCGAGGUACGCCGAAGACGCAUUUCUCGGGAUUGAGCUUGAUCUGGUUGGUGCGUAAGCAGCUAAAAGCGAUCUCGAGGUCUUGGAUCAGGUCCCCUCGCUGCUUUGAUUUGACGACAAUGUCGUCGACGUAGGCCUCGACCGUCGACCCUAUGUGUUCGCCAAAUACGUGGAGCAUGCAACGUUGGUACGUGGCUCCCACGUUUCGAAGCCCAAACGGCAUGGUUACAUAGCAAUACAUCCCAAAAGGCGUGAUGAAAGAGGUCGCGAGCUAGUCGGACUCUUUCAUUUUGAUUUGAUGGUAGCCAGAAUAUGCAUCGAGGAAACAAAGGGUUUCACAUCCCGCAGUAGAAUCGACAAUCUGGUCAAUACGUGGUAAUGGAAAAGGAACUUUCGGACAUGCUUUAUUUAGACUUGUAUAAUCGACACACAUCCUCAUUUUCCCAUUCUUUUUCUUAACUAAUACAGGGUUUGCUAACCAGUAGGGAUGAUGAACCUCCUUGAUGAAUCCGGCCGUCAAAAGCUUGUGGAAGUCCUCGCCAAUGAUCUUGCGCUUCUCCUCGUCGAAUCGGCGCAACCGUUGCUUCACUGGCUUGGAACCGGCUCGAAUCUCCAAGGAGUGCUCGGCGACUUCCCUCGGUAUGCCUGGCAUGUCCGAGGGACUCCAUGCAAACAUGUCGGCGUUCGCACGGAGAAAGUCGACGAGCAUAGCUUCCUAUUUGGGGUCGAGGUCGGCGCUGAUCGUCAGCACCUUGCCAUCGGAGUUGUUGGGGUCGAGCGGGAUCUUCUUGGUUCCUUCCGCUGGCUCGAAGUUGCCCGCGUGGUGCUUGGGCUCUGCAGCCUCAGCGGCCAGGGCCUCGAGCUUUGCGACGAGCUCAGUGGAGUUCUCGACCGCCUCCCCGUGCUCGACGCACUCGACGUCACACUCGUAAGCGUGCUCGAAGGAGGAGCUGACGGUGAUGACGCCUUUGGGUCCAGGCAUCUUGAGCUUCAAGUAGGUGUAGUUGGGAAUGGCCAUGAACUUGGCGUAGCCCGGGCGCCCGAUGAUGGCGUGGUACGUGCCCCGAAACCCGACCACCUCAAUGGUGAGGGUCUCCUUCCUGAAGUUAGCCGCCGUGCCAAAGCAGACCGGUAGGUCGAUUCGACCUACUGGCAGCGCCUUUUUCCCUGGCACGACGCCAUGGAAACCGCCGGCGCUUGGCUGGAGGCGUCCCCUAUCGAUGCCGAGGAGGUCGAGGGUCUCGAGAUAGAUGAUGUUGAGGCUGCUGCCUCCGUCCAUUAGCAGCUUAAAGAGCCGGGUGUUGAUGAUGAUUGGGUCGACGACGAGCGGGUAGACACCUGGGGCGACUACCUUGUCGGGGUGGUCCUCUCGAUCGAAGGUAAUGGGGGUGCUCGACCAGUUGAGGUACUGGGGCACCGCCAUUCUUGCCGCAAAGACCUCACGGCGUUACCUUUUGCGCUGCCUCGUGGUUAACUGCGUAGAAGGCCCACCAUAGAUCAUGUAGCAGUCGUGGACGGCGGGGAAACCGUUGUCGUUCUUGCUGCCCUCUUUGUCACCGCCUUUCUGCUUCUUCGAGUCGUCACGCUCAUCCCUUUUGAACCCCAGACCGUCGAAAUGCCUUUUCAGCAUUCGACAGUCCUUGAGCUUGUGGUUGGCGCCUCCCUUAUGGUAAGGGCAUGGCUCUUCGAGCAUCUUGUCGAAAAUACCUCCGUCUGGGGGGCCUCUAGGCUUCUUCCGCUCCACAGCAGCGACGAGAUCGUCGUCGAAGUUCUCCUGCUUGUACUGUCGCACUUUCUGCUUGUUCUUGUUCUUCUUGAGCCCUCUACUGGGGGUUCCAUCUUCAUCGGCAGGCCGCUUGCCUUUCCCCCCUUCACAGCUGAAGAAGGUGCCGACUGCCUCUUCCCCUGCCGCGUAGUUUGCCACUACGUCCAUCAGCUCAUCGACGGUCUGAGGGCGAUUUCGGCCCAGUUCCCGCACUAAGUCUCGACUGGUGGUACCAGAGACGAAAGCCAGGAUGACGUCAUAGUCGGGGAUGUGCGGCAGCUCAGUGCGCUGCUUCGAGAAGCGUCGAGCAUACUCUCGUAGAGUUUCUUCUGACUUCUGCUUGCACUUGCUGAGGUCCCACAAAUUUCCGGGCCGUAUGUAGGUCCCUUUGAAAUUUCCCUCGAAGACUUUAACCAAAUCGACCCAGUCGUGGAUUUGAUUUGCUGGAAGUUCCUCAAGCCAUCGACGGGCGGUGUCGAAGAGGAAGAGUGGUAGCUGUCUCAUGAUGGCUCGAUCAUCCCCUCGAGCGCCACCUAGCUGGCAGGCCAGCCUAAAAUCAGCCAGCCAUAAUUCUGGUUUGGUCUCUCCAUUGUAUUUCGCGAUGCUGGUCGGGGGUCGGAAUGGACUGGGCAGGGGCGUGCUGCGGAUCGCCCUGCUGAACACCCGUGGGCCUGGUGGCUCGGGGGCCACCCGGUCCUCGUCGCUGUCGUACCUUCCGCCGCGAUGUGCGCUGUAACCUCGCUCUUCCGCGUCUCCGUGGCGGCGGCGUCGAUUCUCUUCGAUGUCAUGCCGCGCAUCGUGUCGACGCUGAUUGUCGACGGGGAGAACGAGAGCGGUCUUUCUGCCUCGAGGAGACACCUCCUUUUCAUUUUGAGGCUGCUCGUCGCGCUUUUUAGUGGCAGCUCCUCAUCGUCGAGAAGCUGAGCUUUCGGCUUGUUGAACUGCCGCCACCUGGAGCAGGGUCUGUACCUCGUCUCGAAUGCGUCGAGCCUGGGAGUUCGACGGCUCUAGCAUGUUGCACAGCAGCAUCGUCGCCGCCACUACAUUUUGGCCUGCUCGAGGGAAGCGGCUGACGGGCUGCUCUGGCUCUGCGUCUCCGACGAUUUGUCGAUGUACCUCUCGAGCACGUCUGCGAACACUUCCGCCUGGCGGGUAUGGCAAGUCUUGCUCAAGGAUUUGCUCAAGCAGGACGAGGCGCUCUCGGUCUUCAUCGAGCUUCAUCUUGAGCUCUCGCAGCUGCGCUAGCUGUGCAGCCUUGUCUUCUUGUGGAGGGGGGUCGACCUGUCCGUCGUUCCCAGGCGUCCUGGGGUCUUCUCGCGCCGUGGGGGCUCGACCGCCUGCAGCAGCAUCCCGCGUCUCGUCAGUAGUUUCUACUGCCCCGUCGACGUGAUAGCAUUCCCUCGUAGGGUCGUAGCUAUCAGUCUCGGAGUCGAAGUCCGACUCGGUGGUGUAGAAGCAUCCACAUCCGUCCUCCAGCAGCCGCUGCCUAAGUGAGGUGAUUGUGUAUCGCCCAGGGCCUUGGCGGCGGAGGCCUCGCUCCUGGGAGAAAUCUGGCAGUUCGGACGUCGGCCGUAAUGUCUCGGAGUCACGUGGGAGGACCAUUGGUCUCUCCACGUUCGUCUGAGCAUUUGGGCAUAUUGCUCUGGCGAGCGACGUCGCGGCGUUGUCCAAUCCGAAUGGCAGUGCCCUUCUUGGAGUGGACAACCCGCGUGGAAGUAGUUUAGUAGCGGUGGGGGAGGGCGCGCGAGACGCGUCCCCUCCCAUCGUCGUGCGAUGUUGAGCCGUCGUGCCUGCGGUUCCGGCGCAUGGUGUUGCCGGCUCGCGGUCCACCUCCUGCCUCGCACGAGUUGCCGGUCGUGAUGAGGCAGAGGGGCGACGGUAGUGCUGUCCGCGCUUCUUCUUGGGCGGGGAGGCGUGGUGGCGAGGGCGUCUUGGGGCCCUCAACCGAGCUGGUGCAACGCGGGCUCCUCCCAGUUCUUUGACUGAGAGCAAGAUCAUGUCGUAGCCGGAGCCCGUAGACAUGAACUCGAGACUCCCAAACCAAAUCACCGUGGAGCGCGGAAUCGGCGAGGCAAGAGCUGCCAUCUGGAAAGGAGUGGGAAACCGAUGAAAAACACGCAGGACCCCUACCUGGCGCGCCAACUGUCGGUGUCUUUCCCACGGGGGGUCACACCAACGAGUAAAUUUGUGUGCGUGCUCCCUUUCCCAGAUGGUGAUGCAAGAAUACACAGAGAUUUAUCCUGGUUCGGGCAAGAGAAGGCCCUACGUCCAGCGGGGGGGAGAGGCUUGUAUUAUCUUGCAACUAAGUGCUUGUACAGGGGUGAAUACAAGCGUGGUAUGAAGUGUGUGAGCCCUACUGCGUAUGUGUGUAGUAUUGCGUGGUGUUCUAUUCCUGAGUCUCUCCUUUUAUAGUUCCAAGGAGUGACUUAGGGUACAUGCGUAGACGUCAGAGUAGGGGUCGGUAGCAGCAUGGUGUGCAGACCUACUCGAGGCUUCCGUACCGGCAUGACUUCGAGCUGUCCCGUCUUAAUAGUCUGGUGAUGAUUACACGUGCCCCUGCAUUCUGCUCUGUGCGCCGUCUUGUGCUGGCUCAACGGUCGCAUGCUCGUACGGUAGAGCGGCAGAUCUGGCGGGGUAGUUAUGGUGUUAUCAGUCGACGCUCCUCACGUCCCUAGGAAGGAACCUUGUUCGGUCGAGGGUCGGACGCCGUGUACCGUGACGAUAUCCGGAGCGCUGACCUUGAAUGUCUCGAGGGGGUCCCGAUUAGACGUCCCAUCCUUGUUUCCCGCGCCCUGACAUGCCCUGGGCCGUUCGGCGGGAAGGCUGCAAAAAGAUCGAUGGGACGAAUGCCUGUUCCAUAUCACGCCUCCCGUGACCUGUGUGUUAGGUGGGGAAGCGUCAGGCGCAUUUAAUGCCCCGGCUUGCGUGCGCGCGUCAGGCGGCGGGCAGCGUCUUUGCGCUCGACGCCUCCUGGUUCGCGUGAUCCUGUUCCGUAUUCGACGAUAACCAGCGCUCGACGCCUGAUCGAUUCGCUCGACGCUAUUUCCGUCUUCGAGGUUGCGGCCGUCGAUGGCAGCGCACACGUAAGACCAGAGCGUCGAAUUGAGGGCCGCGACCUGCGUACGGGCAAUCUCGUAAUGCACAUCGGUGAGGGUACCCCUUACUGAUACCCUCGACAAAGACCAAGGAAGUAACUAAGCUCUCCUAUCAUGGACAUCUCAAACUCAUGAGCCAUCAUUCUUCCAAACUCUUCACAAAAGUCUUGACUGGUUGAUCCAAAAAUGAUAUCAUCAACAUAGAUUUGCAACACAAACAAGUCAUUUCCUAGUUUCUUGGUGAAGAGGGUAGUGUCAACCUUUCCCAUCUUGAACCCUUUAGAGAGAAGAAAGUCUCUCAAGCUCACAUACCAUGCUCUAGGUGCUUGCUUCAAACCAUACAAUGCCUUCUUGAGCUUGUUGUUGACACUUGCUAACACCACUUGAAUACUAGGUUGUCAUCCCCAGCAUGGCACUAGAGUGUACUAUGGUAUUUAUACGCACACAGAUAAUCCGCAAGCGCAUGGAUACCGUUGAAGCUUUCACCCGGUUAAAGGUUUUAUCGUAUCCACAGGGAAACGGGAGAACCAACUAGGCUCUAACUUAACCAAGAUAGAUAGAUAGGUAUAAAUAGGAAAGAUAGUAGAAUUGAAUAAGAACAAUAUUAAAGGUAAGAUAACAAUGGGUAAUAAUAUGGGAAUAGAGUGUAGAGCAAUUCUAGUAUAUGGGCGAUGGUAGCAGAAUAGAGAGGAUAACUAUGGUUUCUCUACUUCAAAGGGGUAUGUCUAUGUCUAGGACGAACCACGUGAUAAGAGUACACCACAAAGGAUGCUUAUCCAAAGGCCGAUAAACCCUACCCGUCCUGCUAACGAGAGGUGGACUACAGGGGACCAACGUAACUGUCACCUACGCGGCCUACCACACGAUCCACCUAGUCAGGGGAUAUCCACAAGUAAUCUAGGUCUAAGCACCACGCUUACACCUAUACUACAACUCUAACCUAUAGGGUCCUAUAGAUUAGAAGUACUCAAAAGAGUUGUGAACCAGAACAUACAUGAUUAGUAAUUGCAUAAUGAAUUAGAAGUAGAUUACCAGAGUCAUCCCAUGAGCAAGCUUGAUUAGAGCUUGAUCAUGGCGAAGUACAACCGGAGGAAGAACCGACAGGCCGGCCUCUCCUCUAAUCCUCCUUCGCUCUCCAUCUCGCUACUAUCUAGAUCUACUCUAGUUUAGAGAAGAGAGGAGAGUUCUCAUCUCUAAACCCUAGCUUUUGCUCUGUCUAUGAAUAAUGAAUAAUGAUCAAGGGGUGCCUCCUCCAGGGGCCAGGGGGUUUGGUUUUAUAGUCCCCUCAAGUGAACCUGGGCCGUCGGAUCAAACCGACAUUGAUUGAACAGUUAUUCUUGAUCCUUUAGGUCGGUGGAGAUCUCCCGAGAGAAAGAGUCCUGAUUGGGCUCCAGAGGUGGGCGGGCACCCAGUAGGACAGGGCGGGCGCCCUGCCUCUGGCCCCGUCUCGUGGCUUCUGGAGUCUUCUAGAUGUAAGAUAAUUGCGCAGCACGUUAAUAUCUUUACGUAAUCCCGACGUGUGGGGCUUUCUUCCUUAUUUCCUGAUAACCCCCUGCAGAAAUAGACAAACACCAAAACUCGUGGAAUUCUGUCAGAUAAAACCCUAAGUCUCGAUGUUGAUUUCAUUUGGAUCCUUUUCUUUGUUUAUUUGAUAGUUAAAUUUGAUACUUAAGGACCGUCAACAAACUCCCCCAAGCUUACCUCUUGCUCGUCCCUGAGCAAGGAUAAACUCAGCUAUGGAUCAUGAGUUGUUGCAAUAUCUUUAAAAAUUGAUGGUACACAUGCUUUUAAAUGAGGUCCCAUCUCUGAGUUAGAGUAAACUGUCAAGACUUAAAACUUACUUACUUUACCUUUCACCAUGGGACUUGUAACCGUCACUUCUGUCUUGAGUGGUUAAAAGAUAGAACAGUCCAGUCAAGUGCCAUGUCGCUUAUUCUUGAUCAGCUAUAGCUCUGGAGUUUUUGCAGAUUUUCAAAUAAAACUCAGAGAUUCCUUUGUAUGACUCUCUCAUAUCUCUCUUUUGUGGUAUUUCUGGAUCCUUACCAAGGCAGUGAUGGUAUAUGCCUUCUCUCAAAAUAUGUGGUAUUUGUGGUAUAAGGCAUAGUGACAUUGCCUUCUCUCUCACCCUACUCUAAUAAGGCUUUAAUAUCUGGAGCUCAUAGGUGGGAGAUAAAAUAUACAUACUUACAAGACAUUUAUUGUGUAGUCAAACUAUGGAUCCAAAGAAACAAAUCAAUAAGCCAAAUCAAGAUGUGCAUGUGUGGCGAAUGAAUGGUGUAUGGUGAUGAUGGUGAUAACAAUGGUGAAAGUCUAAUUCUACUUUUGCUCUUUUGAGGGGAUACAUACCUUCCUUGCUUUUUGAAACUUUAUGAGGAGAAUGAGAUGCUCUUCUUUUUUUUCUUUUCUCUCAGAUGGAUAUCUUAUACCCCUAAUUCUACUGUCGGACACUUGUCCAUUUUUACCUCUUGUCUCACUCUUUUUCUUUUCUUUCGAGGUUCCGGGCACUUGCCCCUUUUUAUUUCCUCAUUUAUUUAUUUAAUUUUUUUUCUUCUUUUUUUUUCUUCUCUUUUUUUAGAGCACUCAUCUCUUGAGAUAAUAUAGCAAGUGGUAGUAGCAAGAUAACUUGAGCAUUUAUUUCACAAGGGAAAAACACAUAUGUUUUUGGCUAUUCUCUCCCGAAUUAGGAGUAGAAUAUUUUUAGGUGAUUCUAGAGAUGGAAAUGGAUGGAUAUAUGUGGAUGGUACUUCCGGAGUAGAAGUAGCAUAUAUAUGAGUGAACGUGCAUGUGAAUCUUGAUUUAACCACAUGACAAGCUCCUAAGGGUCUACACAGCUUGACCACACUCAAUGCUUAUAAGCAGUAAAUAGUAAAUGUGUGGCUCAAAGUCUAGCAAGCAUGUAUAUAUGGCUGUGGUAGGAAUUUAAACUCUCAUCAUACAGGAACUCAUCAUGCAAUAUUUUAAAGAUUUUUCAAAGAUAAAAUUCUCCAGAAUUCUAGCAUCUCUAGGAACAGAUAAACAACAGCUCAACCUUCCCAUAUCAUAUUCGUUAACAACUUAGAUUUCAGAUCAAGUUUUCAUCCCACAAGUUUAGAUCUAGAGCAAGCUUUAAAUUAUAACAGUUAUGUCUAAACUUGAGAGAGAACUUCAAAUUUGCAAAUUAGGCAGAGCAACUAUUAUCAUAUCCAUGCUAGAGUUUUAUUAUUAAGAUUCAGAUUAGCAUAGCCACUUUAUUUGUUUAUUAAACACACUAAGCAAAAGAUAUAUAUAUAAGCACAAAAUCUUUAUUUGGUUUUUCAUAGUUUAUGUAUUUUAAUAUUCUAAUAUAAUAUAAGUAUAAAGAUAGGUAGAAAUACUUAGCGAGAUAAAUGGGGGUGCUCUCCCCCAAGCUGAAUUUUGACGUAAUUUCUCUUGAUGUAGCUAGCAGGUAGCAGAGGUGUAUUUAAAAGUCAGCAGCAUUCUAACAGCGAUUAGAAUGUCCUCCGUCUGCUAGUCUUCUUGAUUCUUAAAUUCUGUGGAGCUCAAAUAGACAACAAAGCUUGUGGAACUAAUUAAGUGUUAGCAUAAAUAUCUAGCCUUCAUCACGUUGAGCUUCCUCAAUAAAUAUUACUCCCUGUUUUUAUAUUUUUAUUUUAUAUAGUAGAAAAGAAAUAUUUAUUUUAUUUUUAUGCCACCACAGUGAAGGUAUUUAUGGGUUUUAUGCCACUCGUAAACUCACAUGGGGCUUAGUAUUUUAUUUUUUUUAACAUUUUUAUUUUCUUUUCAAGAUAGCAUGAUUAACUAAAAAUCUAUUUAAGAAAAGUAAAUAAUUAAAGGGAAAAAGGGAAUGCAGAAAGGAUAAAUAUGGAUAACUACCAAUCUUACCUUUCGGCGAGGGUUCAAUGUUUUAAGUCUUCUUGUCAAGACUUCUCAUCGUGUUCAUUCUUCAGGUGUGUCAUUUGAUUCAGGUGCGGACCUUGACGUCUGCACCUUUUAAUACGGUGUCACCUAUGUUCAUCGUUUGCCCAGCAGUUCGAAGUGCGGUGUUAGCAGUAUCUUGCUCAGUGUGUUUGUGCUCGUAGUGUACCUGCUCAUAGAGACAAGGCAGAGAUCAAGUGCAAGGGCCCUGUUGGUGGAAAACGACAACAGAACCAAAAGUGUAUUUGUUCUUCUCUAACCUUAAGCAUAGUGAGCAAGACAAAGUUGAUGGAUGAUAAGUUCAUGAGUGUAGAGCUUAGAACAUUUGUCAGACCGCUCAACCUUAUGGAAAGAUAAUCUAUCUAUGUAUAUGUCUUUUUCUUUAUAUCUCUCAAAGAUUGAAUGUGUAACAUUUUAGCUCAUCAUGGAGGUAGUACUAGGAACAAAGAUUAAAGGACUACACAUGCUGAAUCAGUUGGGUUGGUUAAUUUGGAGUUAUAAAUCAUACAUAUUUGUCUCUUUAUUUAUAUGAACGCCAGAACCAAGGAGAAGCUUAUAAAAGUGAUAGUCAAGUACCUUAAGAUGUUACCUUGCUCGAAGAGUGAUGGUACAGUAUCAUCUUGUGGAAGCUUUCCUUUCUUAGCGGUUGUGCGUCGUGUUUGUGGCACCCUCCAUGGAUCAUCUCUCUAUGAUGAAUGAGCUAUGUCCUUCUUGUGCAAAUUGUUAAACUUCAUGUGUCACUCUCUUCGUCUCUGAUGUGAGUUUAUCUCAGGACUUCCCAAAUCGAUAUUGAAAGUUUUUCUGCAGGGGUUAGUCCGACAAAAUAUACCAAUAUCUACUCAAGCAGUUUUUUUUAGUUCAAUAACCAAACUAGACUCC
rnacentral:lncRNA from 1 species